rnacentral:rRNA from 1 species
AUACGGAGGGUGCGAGCGUUAAUCGGAAUUGCUGGGCGUAAAGCGUACGUAGGCGGUUUGCUAAGUCAGAUGUGAAAGCCCCGGGCUUAACCUGGGAACUGCAUUUGAUACUGGCAGACUAGAGUAUGAUAGAGGGGGGUAGAAUUCCUGGUGUAGCGGUGAAAUGCGUAGAUAUCAGGAGGAAUACCAGUGGCGAAGGCGGCCCCCUGGAUCAAUACUGACGCUGAGGUACGAAAGCGUGGGGAGCGAACAGGAUUAGAAACCCCAGUAGUCC